GUGGAGACGCGCGCGGCGUCAUGGCCGGACCGCACAUCUUCCGGGUCCGAGCCCUGUACCGGCGCCUGUUGCAGUUGCACCGGGUUCUGCCCCCAGACCUCAAAGCCUUGGGCGACCAGUACGUGAAGGACGAAUUCAGGAGGCAUAAGGCCGUGGGUGCUGCCGAGGCCCAGCGUUUCCUACAGGAAUGGGAGGCAUAUGCAGCAGUGUUAUGGCAACAAGCCAAUAACAACAGACAAAAUCCAACCGAAAAGGCAUGUUUUGGCACCUUUCUCCCAGAAGAAAAGCUUAACGACUUCCGUGAUGAACAAAUCGGACAGUUGCAAGAGCUGAUGCGAGAAGCCACGAAACCUAACAGGCAGUUCAGCAUUACCGACUCUGCAGACCCAAAAUUAUAGUCUACAUGGUAAAGCUUCAUCUGGAAAAUUCCGUUUUCUUUUUCCACCUUUCAUUGAAAUAAAGUUAAACAUUUUAAACCUUAUUUCAGCUUUGAGAAUACUCGGCACUGAAGCCAUUUUUGGAUGAUAUGAAUAUAGUAUUUAUCUGAGCAUCCCUAGGAACAACUUGUGAUCCACAUUCUCUCACCGCAUCUCGCUGUUCACUCAGCAAGUAUCUGUUGAGAGCCUCAAUGUGCCAGGUACAUUUCCAGAUCAUGGAGAUGGCGCACACACCAAAGUCAGCACGCUCCUCUCACUGUAACGGAGAUCUGUGGGUAAAACACGGCAGCAAGGGAACACUGAAGCCAGGCCAAGGGACCGCGCAGCACUUCCCUAACUGAGCUGGCAUGCACCGGGGCACCAACAGGGCACUCCGGAGUGCCGAAAUGGAUUUCAUGUUUGAAGAAAACCACAGCCGUGGUCCUUGGAAAAAUCACCGGCUUCAGCCACUUCAGCCUAACUGCGAGGCUGGAGUUUCAGCAGUAGCUACGGUAAAGGGAGCCAUCAGCUCUCAGUGACAGAAAAUGGAAUUGGUGUUCAGCAGGAUUGCAGCUGAGGAGCCGUGUAGCAUCCCGCAGGUGCUGUGUCAGGAAGACAUAAAUCCAAAGAUUUGGACACUUCCAAAUAAGACAAGGUGUGCUUGUUGUUGUUUUUUUCCUCAGUGUGCUGUGAAAAUGCUAACUUGUGGAUCGUGGAGACACGAGUGUCAAACAUGGUCCUCCACCAUGUGCCACCUUUGAUCACUGAAUUCAUUUAAUGUCAUCCCGCUGCUUUCAUUUCUGUCCCCAUCCACCCUGGUCCCCGUGGCCUGGCACUCCAGGCAGCCCUGGGCAAGCCGGGUGUGCACUCGGGCACAGUGUGGGUCUCCCCUCUGCACUCACUUGCCAAACUCGGCGGGACCUAGACGAGGCUGAGACCCAUAGGAAGUGUCAGGUAUGCAGUGCUCCCCUUAAACCACUAUUGCUUUCAGUGUUGCCUAAUUCUCCUGUAUGUUUUCCAGUUUUAGAAUGAAUGGCUUCUGUUUCUAUCGCUACAAGUCUUGCAUUACAUACCCAUUGCUGCGGAGUAUCAGCCUCACAUCUACAUUUCACGCCUGAACUUCAGCUCUCUGUUAGAAAUUCACAUUAACGUUUCCAGCUCCUACCCAAGGCCAGGCUUGCCUUUCUUCCCCUCUCAGUGAUAAGGCGUAUUAGCAUACCUGGUUUACAAGGUCAGAACUCAAGGAUUCAGCUGACCUGUCAGCAGUUCUAGAGGCCCCGCUCUCAUUUUACAGCAACCCUGGCAGCGCGGUGGUGGGUUGGGAGGUGCCUGUGGUGCUCUGCUGCUCCUGGUCCCCAUGUCCUUCGCCAGGCGCCUCUGCGUGUCCUCGCGCCUGUUCUCCAGUUCAGGACUCCUCUUGCCUUGUAACUGGGUUUUCUUAAUAGAACAUGAUAGUGACAUAUGCCCACUCAGGGUGGAGACCUCCCAGCCUGGCGCAACACACACUUGGGGACCUGCCCACCUACCCACUGCUUUUGCUGGCUCACAACAUGGUCAGUUUGUGAGGAGCAGAGCAAACCACCCCAGCGGAAGCCAAUUGUAGGUAU